rnacentral:rRNA from 1 species
UACGUAGGGUGCGAGCGUUAAUCGGAAUUACUGGGCGUAAAGCGUGCGCAGGCGGCGCGUUAAGACAGGUGUGAAAAGCCCCCGAGCUUAACUUGGGAAUUGCGCUUGUGACUGGCGUGCUGGAGUGUGGCAGAGGGAGGUGGAAUUCCACGUGUAGCAGUGAAAAUGCGUAGAGAUGUGGAGGAACACCGAUGGCGAAAGGGCACCUCCUGGGGCCAGCACUGACGCUCAUGCACGAAAAGCGUGGGGGAGCAAAACAGGAUUAGAAA